rnacentral:rRNA from 1 species
CUCGUGUCGUGAGAUGUUGGGUUAAGUCCCGCAACGAGCGCAACCCUCGCCUCUAGUUGCCAGCAUUCGGUUGGGCACUCUAGAGGGGACUGCCGGCGACAAGUCGGAGGAAGGUGGGAUGACGUCAAAUCAUCAUGCCCCUUAUGACCUGGGCUACACACGUGCUACAAUGGGCGGUACAAAGGGCUGCGAACCCGCGAGGGGGAGCCGAAUCCCGAAAAAGCCGCUCUCAGUUCGGAUUGCAGGCUGCAACUCGCCUGCAUGAAGCCGGAAUCGCUAGUAAUCGCGGAUCAGCAUGCCCGCGGUCGAAUACGUUCCCGGGCCUU